GCCUGGGUGGCACAAACGAUUAAGCACUCGGCUACUAACUGAAUGGUUGGUGGUUCAAAUCUACCCGGAGGCA
rnacentral:tRNA from 1 species